CAAAAAGGGACCCUCAACCAGAGGUUCCCAGCACCUUUCAUUACCUUAACUGUGCUCUGGGAGCCUUCAGUGCUGUGGAUGGGGUGUGGAUUGCAGCCUGCCUUAGUCUGCUUUUGUGUAAGCCUUUAUUGGCUGCUCAGUAUGGGUCAAGCAGUGGACGAAGCUCUCAUAGCAUGUAUGUCUCACUUAAUCCGAGGCCGUGCCAUCUGGUGCUACAGAGACAGGAUCUGGAGCCAGCAGACCUGGACUCAAGUCCCAGCUCCACUUCUCAAGAGCCACAAGGAUUUGGACCUCCCACAAUGAACACUCUAGUUCUACGUCUUCAUUUUCCAAGUUACAAAAGAAGAAGCAGAAGAAAAUCUGGACUACGGCUCUUGAAGCUCUACUUGGUAACAUGAAAGGGAGGAUAAAAGCCAGGGAGCCAGAGGCCAUCUGAAGCAGAACAUCACCUACUUUAUCUCAGAAGCACAGGCCUUUGUCUUCUGAAUGACAUUCUUCCUCCCUAGAAAAUCAUGUCUGGAAAAUUCUUCCAAACAAGGCUCAAAACAAUGACUUCAGAUGAAACAGGCUCAAAUGCAUAAACACCAGCGAAACAGAGGAUUUCGAAAAUCUUUGCGUGUGUGCUGCCAACAAGUUCUUUUCUGUAAUUCGUGGGAUUUCAGGUUUAGCUCACAUUUACCCCUUUCCUCGCAAAUAAAAGUUUCUGAGGCUGCAAGCCCAUGGGAGGCCACUGUCAAAGGCCCCAGGGAAGAUCUCUACUACCAGCAAGAGGAGAAAGAGCUCAAGGCCACACUGACAGACAGACAGACAUACAAGACAAUGGUGUGCUUCUGGAAGACAUGAAGGACCUUCUACAUCUUUUGUGUUUACCCUGUAUUUGCUUGACUAUGCAAUAUCCACAGCUGACACUUUAAUAAAUGCUUAGUGGGUGUGGAACUUACUAGAAAAGGAGACCUCUCCGAAGCUUCCUUGGAGCUCAUUUCAUACAUUCCCUGGGCCUGGGCAGCACUGUAUAGAAUCCCUUCUGGCCAGAAAGGGGCUAACAGAAUCCACCUACUGGCCCUUAAGACAUGUAUCUACAGGAAGCCAUGCUCUGAAAUAUCUUUUCAUGCAUUAUCCCAAACUCAGGGUUAUGUAUUAAUAGGAGCAUUUCACCUGCAAGGGAUAUUCAUAACCAGUGGCCUUGGGGCUGGGGCUCUGAUCCUGUGGGAUGGAUGAAUGGCAAUGGAUGGCUUGUCUCAUUCUGCAUUUCCUGUCCAAGACCAAGGAAAGGCACAGGGUUGGCAGGAGGGAUGAGAGAGCAGGAUUGUCCAUUCAGACUCUGGCUCUAUCAUGGACAGGUCAGAUCCAGUCACCAGUAGAUGGACUCGGCCUUUCUUGCUGUCCCAAAGUGGCCCUUGCUAGCCAUCUGUUCUCCUCUUCUCACACCCUUCAAGGCUUUCUGAUCAAGUCCACAAAAUUGACUCGUGCAAAUGACACUGGGAAAUAAGCUGUGGUCACCAACAAGUCAAAACCAGCUGAGAUCGGAUAUUUCUUUUGAGGCAUGAAAACAAAGAUUUUUGGUAAUCUUUUAGAGCAUUCCUAGCUGGAAACUUUUCCCGGAAAUCCAUAAGUUAAGUGCUCCUUGUGUCCUAGAGAGCAAUGAAAUUUAUUCUUACACCAUCCACACCAACUGAACGCUAGUUAUGAUAGGCUCUAAGGUGGUCCAUGAUACCAUCGCAUACAUAGGUAAGCUUACUUCCUGUGUGUCUGCUGGAGAAAGCUGUGUUUAUGCCAAAUGAAUUUAUGUUUCCAGUUUUCAAAAUUCAGAGCUGAUUUUCCCUGGUUUGUGGCAAGCGGGUUGGCCAGCAAAUGAAAAUCAGCAGGAGGAGACUUUCCCAAAAGUCAAAGGAGGAUGGAAGCAGAAUGUGAGAAGUCUGAGCUCAGCUAGCCUGGUCUCCAAGCCUUGGGCAACAUGCAGCCUGCCUGGUACGUGACCAAGGUCUGAGGUCAAAGGUGAGAUUCCACACACAUGGAGACAGGCCAGUUGAACCAUGCCAGAAACUACCACUUCCUAAGUGCACAUCUUUUCUCUACUGAAAGCAGACCCAACUGUCCUUAGUGAGUCCUUUAAUAUGUCUGUUUUGUGUCAUGCGUAUGUGACUCCUCUUAGGCACCCUGAAGUCAGGAACAAUCUUCUCUCACCUCUCCCCUCCAGAACACUAGCGGAAGCAACCAUUUCAUCUAUGAUAAGAAUAGGACCCUGAGCUGACGACUUCCUGCAUAUCAUUUCCUUGGUGAUGAGAUGUUUUUACCCCAAAUCCAGCCGUGUCUUUCCCUGUUGUUUAGGAUUAUUAGAUGUAUGCACUUUUCUACCACCUUCUUCUUCAAGAGACAUCUUGCACUGAGGUUCUUGUGUCAUUUGCUGUUCCUAGCGUAUGCCAGGUAAACAUUCAGCAAGAGGCAAAUGCUUUCAGCCACGUGAGACCUCUGAAAGGAAAACACAAGCAGGCCUUCUGCCGGAACCAGUAGCCGCCUGCUGUUAGCUGGGGAGAAAGGACUUUCAUUCGUUUUUGUCAUCAAGCUGAUACUGUGCCAACACCCACAUCUGGAAACAGUUAUCAAGAAAGAAGAGGCAUGCAAGCCUGGGUCUCAUGACCCUGCAGCCUUCCUUUCUGCUGCUCUAUUUAUUAACAUACUGAUUUAGAGUGAUCAACCUAUGUCCCCAGAGUAAGUUACAGAAACUAAAUUUUUAAAAGGCCACUGCCGUCACACCACUUCACGAAAACAGGCCAAGGUCUAACUUAUGGGGUCUUGGAUGGAGUUUGUAUCUAAAUAAACACAUUUUAAAGUUGCUUAUUGUGUUGUACUUUAAUCACUGAGCCAAGCCUUUUUAAGCUUUGUCUUGAGCUCUGUGCCCCUCCUCAGCUUGGCAGAACUCUGUCCUGUCAGUCUCAAGGGCUUGAUAGAAUUUGUACUUAUUGGAUCUGGACACACAGAUAGAGGAGUCUGUUAUUUGCACAUCACACAGACCCACACACACAGAUACACAC
rnacentral:lncRNA from 10 species